rnacentral:rRNA from 1 species
GUCUACCGCCAUACCACCCUGAACGCGCCCGAUCUCUUCUGAUCUCGGAUGCUAAGCAGGGUCGGGCCUGCUUAGUACUUGUUGGUGCUUAGAUU